rnacentral:rRNA from 1 species
GUGUUUCGACACACUAUCAUUAACUGAAUCCAUAGGUUAAUGAGGCGAACCGGGGGAACUGAAACAUCUAAGUACCCCGAGGAAAAGAAAUCAACCGAGAUUCCCCCAGUAGCGGCGAGCGAACGGGGAGGAGCCCAGAGCCUGAAUCAGUGUGUGUGUUAGUGGAAGCGUCUGGAAAGGCGCGCGAUACAGGGUGACAGCCCCGUACACAAAAAUGCACAUACUGUGAGCUCGAUGAGUAGGGCGGGACACGUGGUAUCCUGUCUGAAUAUGGGGGGACCAUCCUCCAAGGCUAAAUACUCCUGACUGACCGAUAGUGAACCAGUACCGUGAGGGAAAGGCGAAAAGAACCCCGGCGAGGGGAGUGAAAAAGAACCUGAAACCGUGUACGUACAAGCAGUGGGAGCCUCUUAAUGGGGUGACUGCGUACCUUUUGUAUAAUGGGUCAGCGACUUAUAUUCUGUAGCAAGGUUAACCGAAUAGGGGAGCCGAAGGGAAACCGAGUCUUAACUGGGCGUUAAGUUGCAGGGUAUAGACCCGAAACCCGGUGAUCUAGCCAUGGGCAGGUUGAAGGUUGGGUAACACUAACUGGAGGACCGAACCGACUAAUGUUGAAAAAUUAGCGGAUGACUUGUGGCUGGGGGUGAAAGGCCAAUCAAACCGGGAGAUAGCUGGUUCUCCCCGAAAGCUAUUUAGGUAGCGCCUCGUGAAUUCAUCUCCGGGGGUAGAGCACUGUUUCGGCAAGGGGGUCAUCCCGACUUACCAACCCGAUGCAAACUGCGAAUACCGGAGAAUGUUAUCACGGGAGACACACGGCGGGUGCUAACGUCCGUCGUGAAGAGGGAAACAACCCAGACCGCCAGCUAAGGUCCCAAAGUCAUGGUUAAGUGGGAAACGAUGUGGGAAGGCCCAGACAGCCAGGAUGUUGGCUUAGAAGCAGCCAUCAUUUAAAGAAAGCGUAAUAGCUCACUGGUCGAGUCGGCCUGCGCGGAAGAUGUAACGGGGCUAAACCAUGCACCGAAGCUGCGGCAGCGACACUAUGUGUUGUUGGGUAGGGGAGCGUUCUGUAAGCCUGUGAAGGUGUACUGUGAGGUAUGCUGGAGGUAUCAGAAGUGCGAAUGCUGACAUAAGUAACGAUAAAGCGGGUGAAAAGCCCGCUCGCCGGAAGACCAAGGGUUCCUGUCCAACGUUAAUCGGGGCAGGGUGAGUCGACCCCUAAGGCGAGGCCGAAAGGCGUAGUCGAUGGGAAACAGGUUAAUAUUCCUGUACUUGGUGUUACUGCGAAGGGGGGACGGAGAAGGCUAUGUUGGCCGGGCGACGGUUGUCCCGGUUUAAGCGUGUAGGCUGGUUUUCCAGGCAAAUCCGGAAAAUCAAGGCUGAGGCGUGAUGACGAGGCACUACGGUGCUGAAGCGACAAAUGCCCUGCUUCCAGGAAAAGCCUCUAAGCAUCAGGUAACAUCAAAUCGUACCCCAAACCGACACAGGUGGUCAGGUAGAGAAUA